GUCUUCAGUUCCUUAAUUAAGAAUUGGAAAUCAUAGCAAUAAGUAACAGCAAGAUUUUAGUUCAUAAACACUAGUUUUAAAAAAGUUACCUCAGCAGUGUGUUCUACCUUGGUCAAUUAACUUCAGGAUGGAGUGAGGCUAGUUAGCCCCUGCUGAAGUCUCAUUAAUGUGUCUGUGUGCCUUCUGGGACCCACACUAUUGUCUACUACAAGUCAUGCAAAAAGCGUGGUCUCUGGGGAACUGCAGCUUCCUAUUAUAACAACUCCUGACCAGCUACUCUAAGGCACAGGUAUGUGUACUCUGUCAGAGUCUCAAACAGUUCUACUUUAGAUGUGUUUUGCUUCAAACCAUGUAUAACUGUGUCCUUUGCUUUUGGUCAGUAGCUCAUCUUGCAUCCUUUGCCUUUCGUAAGCAUGGCUGGUUAGCUCUAACAGAGCUGAGAGGGAUGUCAGCUGUGUUCAUGUAAUGAUUGCCAAAUCUGAUGAGGGCUUCCACAGUGCCUUGUUUCCCUGCAUUUGCAUGCUCUCUGAGCUUUUCCAAAAUGUUUAAUAGCUUUUCAGCUUUAUUUCAUUGCAAGUAAUCAUGAUUUAGGGACCAUCUUUUUUCUCUACUGCUCUUGAAGGUUUAAAUUUAUGAGGCACUUGAGUCCGUUCUGGUACUUCCCCACCAAAGUGUGGGCAGCCCCAAGAUUGAAGAGGCACACCUAUGUUUUCUUCUCAAAGGUGGUGUUCCCAGAUAAAAGAUCCACUAGCUGGCAGCUCGUGCUGUACGGGAAACACCCCAUUCCCCCUGUGGCCUUUUGCAGACAAAGAAUAUUGUAGGUAA
rnacentral:lncRNA from 1 species